UACGUAGGGUGCGAGCGUUAAUCGGAAUUACUGGGCGUAAAGCGUGCGCAGGCGGUUUUGUAAGCCAGAUGUGAAAUCCCCGGGCUUAACCUGGGAAUGGCAUUUGGGACUGCAAGGCUGGAGUGCGGCAGAGGAGACUGGAAUUCCUGGUGUAGCGGUGAAAUGCGCAGAUAUCAGGAGGAACACCGAUUGCGAAGGCAGCUCGCUGGAACGUUACUGACGCUGAGACGCGAAAGCGUGGGGAGCAAACAGG
rnacentral:rRNA from 1 species